GCCCCAGUGGCGCAACCGGUUAGCGCGUCGUACUUAUAAGCAGUACAGAACCUGCUAACGCAAUGCGAAGGUUGUGAGUUCGAUCCUCACCUGGGGCA
rnacentral:tRNA from 1 species